AUGCCUUCCCAGCAUGGUGGGAGAAGAGCAGGACCCAGGCAGGAGCGUGUUGCUGUUGGGAGUUCCCACAGAUGCCAGUGCCAGCUUGGGAAGCUCAUAUGCCCCUGUCCCCAGCGCCACUCCGUAAGAUGCACCAGGACAGCUGUUCGCAGGGCGACUGGAGAAACCAAGAACAGAACCAGGAAGAAUCCCUCCUUUUUAAGUAAUGGAACUUCAGUAGACCUGCAGUGGCUGGCUGGUUUGACGACACUUACCCUGAAGUGGUACCAUAAGGGGCACUCAGCUGAAAGCAGAGAGGUAAUCAGAACAUCCCUAGAUGGAGAGGCUUCAGCUGCUUUAUGCCAUGGUCAAACUGUACUCUUUGGACUACUAGAAAGAAUGAUAUUCAGGUUACGAUGGAGCAAAUUCCUUUGGCACUUGAGCUGA
rnacentral:lncRNA from 1 species